rnacentral:lncRNA from 1 species
CUAUUUUCAAAUACUAUGUUUAACAAUUAAACAUGUAUCAAUUUCAUGUAUACAUCCUAUGUAUUAUAAAAAUUUAGAUUUCUACAUCAUAUGCAAUCAUUCAAUUCAGAUCAUAAAAUUUAAUUUUUAUAUCUAAAUUUAUUUUAUUAAAAUUAUAAUUAAUCAUAAAUUACUUUAAAUCUAAUUUAAAUAUAUUUAUGAUCAAAAUAAUUUUAAAUUUUUUUUACUGUUCUUCAUUAUGAGACUUGAUCAAAAUGGUAUCUCUACACAUCAUAAGAGCAUCCCAUC